UGUAGUGUUUCCUACUUUAUGGAU
rnacentral:ncRNA from 4 species